rnacentral:lncRNA from 1 species
UACAAAUCACAUGCAUCAUAAACAGCUAACUAGUACAUCAGUCAGACCCACAAUGCAUCACGGAUUUGAUGCUGUCAAACACGACAAUGGAAAUGGCCUCAUACUUUGCAUUGACUGAGGUGUUUUCCCUGAAGAAGGCCCAUUCUGGGAUAAGCAGCCAGACAGAGCAGCUGCUGGAUCAUGACGAAGCAUACGGGAAAGGUAGGCUAUUCACUCACACCCCCCCCCCACACACACACACACACACACACACACACAAGUAUCACAGGCCUUUACAAAUGGUGUUAUGGACAUUUUUCCUGUAGCUCAGGCUCUUCUUAGUGAUUGGAUGAACAGCAAGUUGCGUCUGGAACUGGAGAUAGAGGAGGAUGUGAUUGUCUCCCCUGAAAAGAACAGUCCAGCAGCCAUGGCACCUGCCCAGCCUGUCUCCCUGGACUACAGUAACUUUGAUGGUACAGAGACACUAACCUACACAACAACACUUAACUCUUACCUGCCAUCUGACAUUCUCUAGCAAACAGUGGAACUCACACCUGCUAUACCUUGUUUUCUAAAGUUCAGUUAAUACAUCAUACUACAGUCAGUGGGUCCAUUGGGACCAUACGUCAUACACCCUCUGUCUCUCUCUCAGACCUGUAUUCCCACCUGGCUGAGGAGGAGGAGAGCUCAGUGGUCAACAACUUCCUUCAAGACCUCAUGGAGUGGGAAGUGGUGGAUUCUGGGAUAGUGCAGGAUCUGGCACUAGACUCAGAAGAGUGAGACAGGAGGAAGAGAAGGGGGAUGGGCCUCACCUUGGAG